GGAAGGAACAAAUGCGACGUUGCUUGUUUGGAUACGCGAGGCGUCGCUCCGAGUGGCCUAGAUGUCGAGUGCGCGCGCCGCGCGCGCCAUUCGUUAUCGUUGUUGCACUUGUUACUCGGGGCGCCAGAAAUUGAGGAGGGUUGUCGGCCGAAUGGCGUCGGUGACAGAAGGUGAAGAAGAAGAAGACGGCGACGACGACGACGACUGCGGCAACGGUAUACUUUAAUUUUGUUCCUGAAGAUGUUGCAGAAGCGCUAUUGGAGUUCCCACAUGCGACGGGACUGGACGGAGCGGCUUUCGUGAGACGGUCGUGUGUCACUUUCCUGUACAACCUCCAUCCUCUCGUGGUGUCAUCACUGCGUUUUCACUAAAUGAUAUGCAAAUGUGGUUACGUCUUUUUGGUAUGGUGGUAAUUUACGGCGUGGGACGUGAAUAUAUAUGGGAUUGCAAGGUUGAAACUUGUUUCGUCUAAAUACCGUGCACCGCAACAUAACAAUUACCUCGCUUCAUUGUCCGACGUCGAUCGAGGGAAGAAAAAAAAAUACGAAAGAAGACGAAUGAAAACAAGAGAAGAAAGGAGACAAGG